rnacentral:rRNA from 1 species
GCAUAUCAAUAAGCGGAGGAAAAGAAACCAACAGGGAUUGCCCUAGUAACGGCGAGUGAAGCGGCAACAGCUCAAAUUUGAAAUCUGGCGUCUUUGGCGUCCGAGUUGUAAUUUGCAGAGGGCGCUUUGGCAUUGGCAGCGGUCCAAGUUCCUUGGAACAGGACGUCACAGAGGGUGAGAAUCCCGUACGUGGUCGCUAGCCUUUACCGUGUAAAGCCCCUUCGACGAGUCGAGUUGUUUGGGAAUGCAGCUCUAAAUGGGAGGUAAAUUUCUUCUAAAGCUAAAUACUGGCCAGAGACCGAUAGCGCACAAGUAGAGUGAUCGAAAGAUGAAAAGCACUUUGGAAAGAGAGUUAAAAAGCACGUGAAAUUGUUGAAAGGGAAGCGCUUGCAGCCAGACUUGCCUGUAGUUGCUCAUCCGGGUUUCUACCCGGUGCACUCUUCUACGGGCAGGCCAGCAUCAGUUUGGGCGGUUGGAUAAAGGUCUCUGUCAUGUACCUCCCUUCGGGGAGAUCUUAUAGGGGAGACGACAUGCAACCAGCCUGGACUGAGGUCCGCGCAUCUGCUAGGAUGCUGGCGUAAUGGCUGUAAGCGGCCCGUCUUGAAACACGGACCAAGGAGUCUAACAUCUAUGCGAGUGUUUGGGUGUCAAGCCCGAGCGCGUAAUGAAAGUGAACGGAGGUGGGAACCUUUCGGGGUGCACCAUCGACCGAUCCUGAUGUCUUCGGAUGGAUUUGAGUAAGAGCAUAGCUGUUGGGACCCGAAAGAUGGUGAACUAUGCUUGAAUAGGGUGAAGCCAGAGGAAACUCUGGUGGAGGCUCGCAGCGGUUCUGACGUGCAAAUCGAUCGUCAAAUUUGGGCAUAGGGGCGAAAGACUAAUCGAACUAUCUAGUAGCUGGGUUCCUGCCGAAGUUU